rnacentral:rRNA from 1 species
UACGGGGGGAGCAAGCGUUGUUCGGAUUUACUGGGCGUAAAGGGCGCGUAGGCGGUCAGCACAAGUCAGUUGUGAAAUCUCCGAGCUUAACUCGGAAAGGUCAACUGAUACUGUGCGACUAGAGUGCAGAAGGGGCAACUGGAAUUCUUGGUGUAGCGGUGAAAUGCGUAGAUAUCAAGAGGAACACCUGCGGCGAAGGCGGGUUGCUGGGCUGACACUGACGCUGAUGCGCGAAAGCCAGGGGAGCGAACGGG